GACGUAGGGCGCGAGCGUUGUCCGGAUUUAUUGGGCGUAAAGAGCUCGUAGGCGGCUUGUCGCGUCGACUGUGAAAACCCGCGGCUCAACCGCGGGCUUGCAGUCGAUACGGGCAGGCUAGAGUUUGGUAGGGGAGACUGGAAUUUACGGUGUAGCAGUGAAAUGCGUAGAUAUCGUAAGGAAGACCAGUGGCGAAGGCGGAUCUCUGGACAGUUACUGACACUGAGGCACGAAGGCCAGGGGAGCAAACGGG
rnacentral:rRNA from 1 species